AUUGUAUCAGCAAUAAAACAAACAUUACACCGUGACAACUACCCUUUCGAUUACUGGGGACAAGGCACCAUGGUGACAGUCACAUCAGCUUCUCCAACUGCUCCCACUCUGUUUCCUCUCAUUUCGACAUGUGGAUCUGUGGAGUCGAACCCAAUAAGCAUUGGCUGUCUGGCAACUGGCUUCACUCCCAGUUCUCUGCAGUUUUCUUGGGCUGAUGAUAAGAAAGAUUUGACCGAUUUUCGUCAGUUCCCAUCUGUCCGAGGAAAUGGAGAAACAUACAUUAUGAGCACCCAGCUCUCUGUCGCUACUGCAGAUUGGGACCGUGGAGCAAAUUUUACAUGUAAGGCAAAACAUUCAGCUGGUAACCGCGAAAAAACUCUCAGAAAACCAGAUCAAACGCCACCAAUGCCACCCACACUGUUCAUAGCAUCACCUUCCAAAGAUGAGAUGCAUAUAAACAAGACCGCUACAAUGGUGUGUGUGGCUAAGGGAUUUUACCCUAAAGCUCACACGUUUACAUGGCUGAAGAAUGACAAGCCCAUAACAAGUGACAUAAAUGAUUGCCCUGAAGCUCUCACACCAAAUUCUAAGUUAUACCACGCAAGCAGCAUGCUGACCAUUGCAUCCAGUGAGUGGAAGAGUCAAUAUAACAACUACACCUGUGUAUUUGAAGUGAAUCGUCAUAGAUAUUCAACAAGCAUCAAUAGUGAUACAGGUUGUGGCUCAGUACAGACUGUAACUUUGGAAAUAAUCCCACCAUCUGCUGAAGACAUGUUUACCAAUAAGCCCGAUGGAUAUGGAGACCUUGUGUGCAUUGCCUCAAACUUAAAUCCUGAUGACAGCAUCACUUUUGUCUGGAGUAAUAAUACUGAUAAUGAUUUGGAGAUUAUCACUGUUGAUCCAGAGCUAACAGAUUCAAUAUACACAGCCAGAUCUACGUACAGAAUUGGUUUUAAUGAAUGGAAAAGUCGCAAUAAGUAUGAAUGUAAAGUUAUAGAUCACAGUUAUCUUCCAUUUCCAAUGUCAAAAACAUAUACAAGAGAUAACGAUAAACCAUACUUGACUCCUAAAAUAGCCAUUUUUCCACCCCCUACAUACGAGACCGCUGGCACCACUACUACAGUGACCUUGACCUGCUUUGUGAAAGAUUUCUACCCUAAAGAAAUUUUUGUGACGUGGGAUGACGAUGACUUACCUGUGGACAAAAGAGGUGUUGCCACCACCAGUGUCAUUAAGAAUAAUGCACAGAGCAACUCCUAUUCUGUGUACAGCAAGCUGACUGUCAGUUCAGAUGACUGGAAUAAUGGCCAUUCUUAUUCAUGCAUUGUCUAUCAUGAAAGCAUGGGAAGUCAGUCAAGCACGUUGGUCAGAACCAUUGACGUUUCAUCGGGUAAACCAACUCUAGUAAAUGUCAACUUUGCACCUCCCAGCAAAACUAACACUUGUUCUUAACUGCGUGUGUACUCUUUCUUGUCAAGCAUCAUUGUAAUGUAAAUGUAACCCAUGCUGUUUUUACCUUCUAACCAUGUGGUUGUCUUCUUGUUUCUUUAUAUGCAAUAAAUUCAGAUUUUAACAAA